rnacentral:rRNA from 1 species
AUGGUCCGUGGAAAGACAGUGAUCGAGAAGAUCGAAAACAAGACAAGCCGACAGGUGACCUUCUCCAAGAGGAAGAGCGGAUUGUUCAAGAAGGGCAAGGAACUGGGCAUUCUCUGCGAUGCCCAGGUAGGGAUCUUCAUCUUCUCCAACACCGGACGCCUCUAUGAGUACUCCAAUUCCGGGAUGAAACCCUUAAUUGAAAGAUACCAGGCAGUUAAAGAUGGUCAAAAACUCCUGAGUGCAAGUGCCGAAGCUAAGUUUUGGCAAGCGGAAAGUGCUCGCCUGGAGCAGCAACUACGUAACUUGCAAGAGAAUCAUAGGCAGUUGCUAGGACAACAUCUAUCUGGUCUAUCUUUUGAAGACUUGAAGUGUUUACAAAAUCAGCUAGAAACGAGCUUGUAUAACAUUCGACUAACUAAGGACAAAUUUAUUGGCGAUGAAAUUCAAGAGUUAAACACGAAUGAAAGCCUCAUGCUCCAGGAAAAUAUAGAGCUACAUAGGAAAUUAAACAUCGUUCGUCAAGAGAAUACGGAAUUGCAAAACAAGAAUAAACUUCAAGGAGUCAUGUUUCAAAAAAAUCCAUUACCUUCCGGCUCACAAAAGAAGCUACCCAGGAUCAAAUUCUGUGUAAAUUAA